rnacentral:lncRNA from 1 species
UUUAAAAUUCAUCAUCUUCUCCAUUAUGCUCAGCAACUACCGCCAACCCUCCAAAUCUGGUGCUCUGGUUAACGUCUUUAGUGCCGGUAGCAGUGCUAUUGCCGGUGGUGGAACUUUUCUCCUUCCCUAGACCCGUAGCUUUGGUGACCUUCUUAUGACCAUCGGACCGCCACUCAGGGUAUCCAUCCGACAAGUCGGAAGCAUUGGUCCUUGAUAUGUUUUGUCAUACUACAGUGUUGGAAAGUUGUAAGGUGGUAAGCUCUUGAACGUUGGAGAAACUAUGCAUGGAUAUACAUGAGAAUCUUUAGCCUCAAUCAAGAAGGUUAUUUAUUAUUGUUAUUAUUAGUUUAUGAAAAUACUAAUUGGGAAAACAAUCUAGAAAUAUAAGAUAAUAAUAUUGAUGUUACGUUGAAUUAUAAGUGUUUCUAUAUU